CAAUAGCGUAUAUUAAAGUUGUUGCAGUUAAAAAGCUCGUAGUUGGAUUUGUGGCGUAUGGUGUGUUCCGGGCACUUGUUGUCUGAGUAACUUGCCAUUGCCAUCCUUGGGUGGAACCUGUGUGGCAUUAGGUUGUCGUGCAGGGGAUGCCCAUCGUUUACUGUGAAAAAAUUAGAGUGUUCAAAGCAGGCUUAUGCCGUUGAAUAUAUUAGCAUGGAAUAAUAAGAUAGGACUUUUUUGCUAUUUUGUUGGUUUGCGCGAGAAGGUAAUGAUUAAUAGGGAUAGUUGGGGGUAUUCGUAUUCCAUUGUCAGAGGUGAAAUUCUUGGAUUUUUGGAAGACGAACUACUGCGAAANCANNNACCAAGGAUGUUUUCAUNAA
rnacentral:rRNA from 1 species